GAUGAACGCUGGCGGCGUGCCUAAUACAUGCAAGUCGAGCGAACGGACGAGAAGCUUGCUUCUCUGAUGUUAGCGGCGGACGGGUGAGUAAAACGUGGAUAACCCACCUAUAAGACUGGGAUAACUUCGGGAAACCGUAGCUAAUACCGGAUAAUAAUUUGAACCGCAUGGUUCAAAAGUGAAAGACGGUCUUGCUGUCACUUAUAGAUGGAUCCGCGCUGCAUUAGCUAGUUGGUAAGGUAACGGCUUACCAAGGCCACGAUGCAUAGCCGACCUGAGAGGGUGAUCAGCCACACUGGAACUGAGACACGGUCCAGACUCCUACGGGAGGCAGCAGUAGGGAAUCUUCCGCAAUGGGCGAAAGCCUGACGGAGCAACGCCGCGUGAGUGAUGAAGGUCUUCGGAUCGUAAAGCUCUGUUAUAAGGGAAGAACAUAUGUGUGAGUAACUGUUCACAUCUUGACGGUACCUAAUCAGAAAGCCACGGCUAACUACGUG
rnacentral:rRNA from 1 species